UCGCACAAUUGUCAUCGCGCUGGUGAAAGCCAGUGGCGCGAGCUACCGUGCGCUGAUUAUGACUGACGCCUCUAAGUCAGAUCCGGGCCAGAAGCGACGCGUGUCCGCCGCUCGUUUGCCGACCAGCAGUAGGGGCCCUCCGGCCCCCAAAGGCACGUGUCGUUGGCUAAGCCCUCGCGGCGGACGAGCCGCGCGGGCCGCCUUGAAUUACAAUUUCCACCGGGCGGCGGACUGAAUCCUUUGUAGACGACUUAAAUACGCGACGGGGUAUUGUAAGUGGCAGAGUGGCCUUGCUGCCACGAUCCACUGAGAUUCAGCCCUUCGUCGCUCCGAUUCGU
rnacentral:ncRNA from 1 species